rnacentral:tRNA from 1 species
AUUUAAAUAGCUUAAAUAAGAGUAUAAUAUUGAAAAUAUUAUGGUGAUAAUUAAAUCUUUAAAUA